GGACGGGGUGGAGGUAACGCGUGGGUAACCUGCCCUGUACAGGGGGAGUAACAGUUGGAAACGGGUGCUAAUACCGCAUAAGCGCACGAGAGGACAUCCUCUUGUGUGAAAAACUCCGGUGGUACAGGAUGGGCCCGCGUCUGAUUAGCUGGUUGGCAGGGUAACGGCCUACCAAGGCGACGAUCAGUAGCCGGUCUGAGAGGAUGAACGGCCACAUUGGGACUGAGACACGGCCCAG
rnacentral:rRNA from 1 species